UGGGGAAUAUUGCACAAUGGGCGCAAGCCUGAUGCAGCCAUGCCGCGUGUGUGAAGAAGGCCUUCGGGUUGUAAAGCACUUUCAGCGAGGAGGAAGGUGGUGAGCUUAAUACGCUCAUCAAUUGACGUUACUCGCAGAAGAAGCACCGGCUAACUCCGUGCCAGCAGCCGCGGUAAUACGGAGGGUGCAAGCGUUAAUCGGAAUUACUGGGCGUAAAGCGCACGCAGGCGGUUUGUUAAGUCAGAUGUGAAAUCCCCGGGCUCAACCUGGGAACUGCAUUUGAAACUGGCAAGCUAGAGUCUCGUAGAGGGGGGUAGAAUUCCAGGUGUAGCGGUGAAAUGCGUAGAGAUCUGGAGGAAUACCGGUGGCGAAGGCGGCCCCCUGGACGAAGACUGACGCUCAGGUGCGAAAAGCGUGGGGAGCAAACAGGAUUAGAUACCCCUGGUAGUCCACGCUGUAAACGAUGUCGAUUUUGGAGGUUGUGCCCUUGAGGCGUGGCUUCCGGAGCUAACGCGUUAAAUCGACCGCCUGGGGAGUACGGCCGCAAGGUUAAAACUCAAAGGAAUUGACGGGGUCAUAGCUGUUUCCU
rnacentral:rRNA from 1 species